rnacentral:tRNA from 1 species
GCUAACGUGGCAGAGACAGGUAAUUGCAAAAGCUCUAAGAUCUUUCCCCCGGAGGUUCAAUUCCUCCCCUUAGCU